CUGUUCUCCACUCAUCCCUCCUUUGGAACACAGUUAAGCAUCACCUCCUCCAGGAAGCCUUCCCUGAUCUUGGUCUAGGGCUGGGUACCCUGUCAUUGCUGCUGUUGCCUUGUUCUUCUUCACAGAAUAUUGCACAUUUAUGUUUACUUAACAGCCUGGAAUAUUUGCUUAGUGUUGGUCUCUGAGGUGAGAUGAUAAACUCUAAGUAGGUAGGGGGUAAUGUUUGUUUUGUGUUCUCUCUCUAUGCCUAGAACUGUGGCACCUAAUGAGUUCUCCAAUAAAUCAUUGACUGACUGCUCUGAUGGGACCACAUUUAGCAGACUGGAUUCAGUGCUGAACACCCUUGUUAGGAAAAAGAGUGCAUGUCACUUCUCAAGGAAGGGGUGGUAUCACCCUCAGAGAAACUAUUACACUUGGGCACAAGGAGACAUAUCAGAGAGAGCCACUGUUGUCAGUUUGUUAAUUACCUCCAUGCUUCCGCUGCUGCUGCUGCUGCUAAGUCGCUUCAGUCGUGUCCAACUCUGUGCGACCCCAUAGACGGCAGCCCACCAGGCUCCCCCGUCCCUGGGAUUCUCCACGCAAGAACACUGGAGUGGGUUGCCAUUUCCUUCUCCAAUGCAGGAUAGUGAAAAGUGAAAGUGAAGUCACUCAGUCGUGUCCGAUUCUUCGAGACCCCAUGGACUGCAGCCUACCAGGCUCCUCCGCCCAUAGCCCUUUGCAAAUACCUUUGCAUGCAUAUAUUCACAUAGAAAAUGUAUAGCUUAUUUGUGUUUGCUUUUUUUAAAUAUGCAUAGUACUCUGCAAACUGUAUGAAACACUCAACAGCCAGUCUGUUGGUUCACAGUUGUGUUUCUGAGAUUUAUCCAUAGAGAUUUAUUUAGACUGAGUGUACUCUUUUUCAUGACUCUAUAAUGUUCCAUCAAGGGACUAUAUAAUACAUUUUAUGCAUCCACUCCCCUACUGGGGGCCUUAUAGGUUGGUUCAAAUAUUUUGCUAUCACAACGUAACUGUGGAUACAUGUGUACCUACUUCCUCGUUCAUCUCUGGGUAGUAGAAAGAACAUAUUGGGUAUUUCAACAGAGUCGGUUAAUUUGCUUAGGUGACUGUGAGCUGCAUGAGAACAGAAAUAGGCCACUUUUUAGGAAGAAGUUCCCUAUCUCUGCA
ensembl:lncRNA